rnacentral:tRNA from 1 species
AAAAUUUUAAGUUAAAAAAACUAUAAGCCUUCAAAGUUUAAAUUACUUUAAUGUAAAUUUUA